GCGCAGGAAAAGAAACCAACAGGGAUUGCCCUAGUAACGGCGAGUGAAGCGGCAACAGCUCAAAUUUGAAAUCUGGUCCUUCGGGGCCCGAGUUGUAAUUUGCAGAGGAUGCUUUUGGCGCGGUGCCUUCCGAGUGCCCUGGAACGGGACGCCACAGAGGGUGAGAGCCCCGUAUGGUUGGACACCAAGCCUAUGUAAAGCUCCUUCGACGAGUCGAGUAGUUUGGGAAUGCUGCUCAAAAUGGGAGGUAAACCCCUUCUAAAGCUAAAUACUGGCCAGAGACCGAUAGCGCACAAGUAGAGUGAUCGAAAGAUGAAAAGCACUUUGAAAAGAGAGUUAAAAAGCACGUGAAAUUGUUGAAAGGGAAGCGUUUGCGACCAGACUUGCGCCCGUCGAAUCAACCGUCCCUCGUGGGCGGUGCACUUCGGCGGGCUCAGGCCAGCAUCAGUUUACUGUAGGGGGAGAAAGGCGCUGGGAAUGUGGCUCCUCGGAGUGUUAUAGCCCGGCGCGUAAUACCCCUCGGUGGACUGAGGACCGCGCGAAAGCAAGGAUGCUGGCGUAAUGGUCGUCAGCGACCCGUCUUGAAACACGGACCAAGGAGUCGUCCUAAUAUGCGAGUGUUUGGGUGUCAAACCCCAGCGCGUAAUGAAAGUGAACGGAGGUGAGAGCUUCGGCGCAUCAUCGACCGAUCCUGAUGUUCUCGGAUGGAUUUGA
rnacentral:rRNA from 1 species